GUGCUCAUUUCGGCAGCACAUAUACUAAAAUUGGAACGAUACAGAGAUUAGCAUGGCCCCUGUGCAAGGAAGAUACACAAAUUCGUAAAGCAUUCCAUAUUUAA